GGUCGCAUAGUCUAGUGGUUAUGAUAUCUGCUUUACAUAGCUGUUAUGUAACUCGCAGAGGGUCGCAAGUUCGAUCCUUGCUGCGACCA
rnacentral:tRNA from 1 species